rnacentral:guide_RNA from 1 species
AAAAUCAACAUUGAGCAGUUAAAGUACGUGAUAAGAUAUAAUUUAUAUUGA